GGAUGUGUAGCUCAGUUGGUUAGAGCGGUCGCCUGUUAAGCGAUAGGUCCUUGGUUCAAGUCCAAGCACGUCCG
rnacentral:tRNA from 1 species